rnacentral:rRNA from 1 species
AUGAACGCUUGCGGCGUGCUUAACACAUGCAAGUCGAACGAUGAAGCCCAGCUUGCUGGGUGGAUUAGUGGCGAACGGGUGAGUAACACGUGAUUAAUCUGCCCUUAACUCUUGGAUAAUCCUGGGAAACUGGGUCUAAUACCGGAUAGGAGCGUCCACCGCAUGGUGGGUGUUGUAAAGAUUUAUCGGUUUUGGAUGGACUCGCGGCCUAUCAGCUUGUUGGUGGGGUAAUGGCUCACCAAGGCGUCGACGGGUAGCCGGCCUGAGAGGGUGACCGGCCACACUGGGACUGAGACACGGCCCAGACUCCUACGGGAGGCAGCAGUGGGGAAUAUUGCACAAUGGGCGAAAGCCUGAUGCAGCGACGCCGCGUGAGGGAUGACGGCCUUCGGGUUGUAAACCUCUUUCAGUAGGGAAGAAGCGAAAGUGACGGUACCUGCAGAAGAAGCACCGGCUAACUACGUG